CCUACGGGAGGCAGCAGUGGGGGAUAUUGCACAAUGGGGGGAACCCUGAUGCAGCGACGCCGCGUGGGUGAAGAAGGGCCUCGGCGCGUAAAGCCCUGUCAGCAGGGAAGAAAAUGACGGUACCUGAAGAAGAAGCCCCGGCUAACGACGUGCCAGCAGCCGCGGGAAUACGUAGGGGGCAAGCGUUAGCCGGAUUUACUGGGUGUCAAGGGGGCGCAGACGGCGCUGCAAGCCAGGAGUGAAAGCCCGGGGCCCCACCCCGGGACUGCUCUUGGAACUGCGUGGCUGGAGUGCAGGAGGGGCAGGCGGAAUUCCUGUUGUAGCGGUGACAUGCGUCGAUAUCAGGAGGAACCCCGGUGGCGCAGGCGGCCUGCUGGACUGCACCUGACGUUGAGGCCCGACAGCGUGGGGAGCAAACAGGCUUAGAUACCCGGGUAGUC
rnacentral:rRNA from 1 species